GCUUCAAAUUGGAUGGCACUGCAGCUGGAGGCUUUGUUCAGAAUUGAUCCUGGGGAGCUACGAACCCAAAGUUUCACAGUAGGAAGGGGGAAAAAAGAAAAGAAAACAUUUUUCCUAAUGUAACAAUGCGAAUGCUAGAAAAUGACAAGACUGAUCGGUUUUAAACCAUUCUGAAGACUGACUGAGCGUGGAAGUUGCUCAACAAAAAAAGGAACGGGUAUAUUGACAGAGUCUUGCUCUAUUGCCCAGGCUGCAACUGGUGUGAUCUCGGCUCACUACAACCUCUGCCUCCUGGGUUCAAGCGAUUCUCCUGCCUCAAGCUCCCAAGUAGCUGGGAUUACAAGCAUGCACCACCAUGCCUGGCUAAUUUUUGUAUUUUUAGUGGAGACGGGGUUUCGCCACAUUGGCCAGGGUGGUCUUGAACUCCUGACCUCAAGUGAUCCACCUGCCUUGGCCUCCCAAAGUGCUGGGAUUAUAAGCAUGAGCCACUGCACCCAGCCUUAUACUGAACUUUCAAUGGGUUCAAUUCCACUAGGAGCAUAAAGGCCACUGCAUAUGAGUUGUGGAAAGAAGAGAUUAGAAGAAGGAAGAACUUGAGAUGAGUUCCUCCCUUCAACAUUCUGUCUCCUCCUACCUAGCAUCUUCUUUCUUUUAGUCUUUCUAGAAUGUCCAUCUGUUUUUGGCCAUUGCGGAGAGAGAAGCUGAGCUUUAAAGGAGUAGGAGCUUCAAAGGCGUAGGAGCUUCAAAAUUCUUGUUUCUUCAUGUUUGAUCACCCUUCUAAACCUGUCUUCUGUUCCUUCUGCUAUUCUUUUUUCUUAGAGCAUAGGAAAGGGGAGCUUUUAAAUUAAUACUUAAAGCAUGGAAAAAAAGAACUUGAGAAGAAAGUAAAACAAGGGAGAUGAGGCUAGUAAAGUAAGGAAAAUGAAGAGGAAGAGGAGGAAGGGUUAGCUUCUAAAUUCCAAGUCAAAUUGAUAUGGAACAGGCAAGCCGCUUGUCUUACUUAAACUUCAGAAAAGGAUCUGCUGAAACUUGAUAGAAAUGGAAAGGGAAAUCCUUGGGGUGGGGAACCUCCAAACAUUAGUAAUGAUAUUGAACAACUCAAAGUAUUGAGGAAAUCUGCAGGCUACAUGCCUGAAGAUUACCCAUGCAGAUAGACCAAAAGGAUUAGAAUUAUCUGUUGAUAUUAGUAAUAUUUAUUGACAUCUAGCUAGUAUUGGUAAUUUUAAGUUUUAGAUUAAUUUCUUUGGUAAUAGCUAUGAUAUAUUUUAUAGACAAGAAUUAUAUCUAUAGGCUUGCUAUCAUAGGCUCUUUUAAUCAGCAUUAAUUUAGUCUACUGAUUUUUAGCACAUUUGAAUCAUUCACUUAUGCUAGGUAACUCAUUGCAAAAUAAAAAGAUGAUUCCUGUAUGUAUGGCAGCUAUACAUUAAGGAGGAGUCUACCAGAAUAUGAAAAAGUCAGCUGACCUAAAUA
rnacentral:lncRNA from 1 species